GGCUCCUAUAGCUCAGUUGGUUAGGAGCGUCUGCCUACCAAUAGCUUAGAAGGUCGAGGGUUCGACUCCCUCUGGAGCCU